UUUUGUAUUCUUAAUAGAGAUGGGGUUUUGCCAUGUUGCCCAGGCUGAUCUCAAACUCCUGACCUCAAGUGAUCUGCCCGCCUCAGCCUCCCAAAUUGUUGGGAUUACAGGUGUGAGCCACCACACCCGGCCUUGGGCUUAGGAUUCUCAGUCCAGAACAGUCUUGGCGGGGAAGGGGCUCAGGGUCUGGAGCCUCCCUCACUAGUCUGCGUGUGCUGCUCUUCCAGGGGGAGGUGACCAUCCACUACAACAAGCUGCAGGCGGACCCCAAGCAGGGCAUGUCCCUGGACAUUGUGUUGAAGAAAGUCAAGCACCGGCUGGUGGAGAACAUGAGUUCAGGGACUGCAGAUGCUCUGGGCCUGAGCCGGGCCAUCCUGUGCAAUGAUGGGCUUGUCAAGAGGCUAGAGGAGCUGGAGCGGACCGCCGAACUGUACAAAGGGAUGACGGAACACACCAAGAACCUCCUACGGGCCUUUUAUGAGCUGUCGCAGACUCACCGGGCCUUUGGGGACGUGUUCUCCGUGAUCGGGGUGCGGGAGCCCCAGCCAGCUGCGAGCGA
rnacentral:sRNA from 1 species